rnacentral:rRNA from 1 species
ACAUGUCUACAAGAUAACAUUAAUGCAUCGGAUCCCAUUAGAACUCCAUAGUCAAGCGUGCUCAUGCUAGAGUAGUACUGGGAUGGGUGACUGCUCAAGAAGUCCUAGUGUUUUACAUUAC